GUCGACCCUGACCUCCUUUGCUGCGUCUCCGGCGCGGCCUUGCAUCCCGUGCAUCACGUGACGGCCUCCUCCGCCACGCGACGGUGGUAGCCGACCUGCACUGCGACGGCUGCAUCGCCUACAAUCUUCUUCAGUGAACACUUGGACCUCUUCUCUCUCUACAACAUCUGCUUAUUUUAUUUCACGUUUUGUUCAUGAAUAUUGGUGGAACUAAUAACAACCGUGUGUAAUGCUGGAAUUUGCAUUCUCAAAAUUUAUUUGCAACAUUCGCUUGUGACUGAUCACUUUUGGUUCCUGAUCUAUAUUCGGCAUAGGUUAUAAGGCUUGUAUUUUCACUUUGAUAGCAUACCUAAGGUUAACUAGACAGAUAUCACAUGAAUUCUGUAAGUUUGAACUUUGCAUGAUUGAGCACAGGACAUCCAGGGCAGGUGAGGCCUAGGUAUUUCAUUUUAGUUGGCACGUUUCAAGUACGAGUAAUAUGGUGUCUGAUAUACUUGUUUUAGUCUUACUGAUGCAAAGAUGGAAAAUAUGUUCUUCUUAUUAUUAUCCAAAGGAUGGUCAGUGUUACACAACUUCAGGUUUCUAAUGCUAGAUCAUUAAUUCCAAGUAGUAAAUAGAUACUUGUUACUUUAUCCAUGACAAACCUCAUCAUGAAGAAAGGGAAAGUAAUGUGCGGCUGCCCAUUGUAAAUUGUUCCUUCUUAGUUCAGUUAGUAUGCAAUUGAAUCAAUUCCCUAAGAAUCCGGUUAGUAAAUUUAGACAUUUGGGAAGGCAUAGUUCUUAAAGAAUUUGGUUCAGUUGGGUCAACAUUUGCAUUUCAGUAAUAAUGAAAUGAGAUAUCCAAUUGUCACACUAAUAUCUUUGCUUUGCACACUAUAGUCAGUACAUCUCCCACCUGAUCGACGCCGAUGCCACGGUCCUCGAGCAGAACAGGGUGAGCUUCAUACCAUUCCAUUCUUGAUGCGAAUUAUUCAUGUUGUAGAUUUUGAGUUGUUCAAUGUGUGGACUGUUGUGUGGUUCCCGUAAAAAUAUAACUGUAUAGAUAUUUUUGUGUGCAUAAAAUCUGUAUUGUACAAUCUCCCUGAUAUUAUGCAUUUUAUUAAUACUCCACUAGAGUUGCUAUCUCUUGGUGUUCAUGGGUUAUGAGUCUGCCUGUACAGAUUUUGAAUUUUUCAUGUAAUAACAAGUAAUACUGCUUAGUACUCCACAAAUAAACUAUUAGUGUGGGAGGUCUCUUAGUGAAACUGUAUCAUAAUAUUUGUUAAUAUUUGGCAUGCCAUUUGAAGUUCACUUGGCAAGCAAGUAUUGUUUAGUACUGUAUUUCUUGGUCCUUUGAGAUGAACUUGUAGCAUAAACAUUGAGUUAGAUGAAAAGUCUUUCAGUGCCGAUUCUGAUUUAAACAUUGAGUUAAUAUAGUCCACAACAUUACAUAUUUUGAUUUGAAGUUAGUUUGUACAAGCCUAUGUUUAUGCCCGGUUUGUGUUAAUUAUCCCGAAGUUAGUCUGUCACUUCCUUUCACUUAAAAGAAAAUUUUAAUCCAGAAAAACCAAGUACUUGGACAGGCACGCACAACUUCCUCUCACUAAAAAAACUAAGUGCUUGUCUCUCUCACUUUUGUUCACAUUUCUUUUACAGUACAGAAAUGUUUGAUCUAAAUACCUGUAUAUGCACACAACUUCCUCUCACAAAAAAAACUAAGUACUUGUCUGUAUCAUGUUUGUUUGCUUUCUUUUUUGAGAAAUCUCAUGUUUGUUUGCUAGGCCAGAAAAUAGACAGCUCCCAGCCUGGUUAGCCCCAUGCACUUUACUGUUUGAUCGGUCCAGAACCAAUGGCUGAACCAACCGCUGCACUUUUAGAUCUGUGAUGUGUGUUUGUUACUUGUCACAUGUAGGCUAAGUCGAUUAUACUUUCAUUUGACACAAUUUUCUUUGGACUAAUUUUUCUUGUUUUCAUGUGUGUUGCCCACAUUUACUUGGUACCUUAGUAUAGUAGUGGUGUGUCCCCGGUCGAUUGCUUGGAAAAUCAACUAAUAUUACUAUCUGUAUUAAUUUCGGAGCUUGCUUUUUAACAUAUUAUAAUUUUGGAUGUGUUCUGAUUCUACACAGGGUUGGCAAUUAAUCCAUGUUACUGGAGACUGAAGUUUUUUAGCAGGAAUUACUUGGGU
rnacentral:lncRNA from 1 species